AUUUUCAGUUUUUGCUCUCCUCUGUGAUUUCUGAAGUAAUUAUAAUACAGUGUAUAUCUGUGGCAAUAGCUAUCACGUAGCAACAGUUCUCAGGAGGGCUGGAAAUUAAAUUUGGAGGAGGCAAGUUUACACCGCUGCACUUUAUCUCCACCACAACAUGAGCUGAGAUGAUCUGCAUCUCCAAGUAGCAGAGGUCUCCCUGAGGCUAGUUAAUUGAUGCAUCAAUGUCUUGAUCAAUAUGGCAACAUAAAUGUUGCAGGAGCUUGUAAUUCCUGCCACUCUGUGUUGUUUCUUUUACAAUAUAAUCUUUCUGUUUUUCUGUAUUUUGUUAAAAUUGAAUUUAGUUGGUUUACCAUCUCGGAACCCAUCAGCUUUUGGCCUGACGACGAUUUAGCCUCUGGGGCAAGGUACAAAAUUAGUACCAUCUACUAACCAAAUGCUGAUAAAAUAUGUAAGGGGCUGGUAGAUUUGCUUCACUCACCAGCCAAAAAAACAAUGGUAAUCUAUUGAGUGGCUGGUAAAAUUUGAACAUUCGCUAGCCGUUUGGCAGGUGGAC